rnacentral:rRNA from 1 species
GACGAACGCUGGCGGCGUGCCUAAUACAUGCAAGUUGAGCGCUGAAGGUUGGUACUUGUACCGACUGGAUGAGCAGCGAACGGGUGAGUAACGCGUGGGGAAUCUGCCUUUGAGCGGGGGACAACAUUUGGAAACGAAUGCUAAUACCGCAUAAAAACUUUAAACACAAGUUUUAAGUUUGAAAGAUGCAUUUGCUUCACUCAAAGAUGAUCCCGCGUUGGAUUAGCUAGUUGGUGAGGUAAAGGCUCACCAAGGGGAUGAUACAUAGCCGACCUGAGAGGGUGAUCGGCCACAUUGGGACUGAGACACGGCCCAAACUCCUACGGGAGGCAGCAGUAGGGAAUCUUCGGCAAUGGACGAAAGUCUGACCGAGCAACGCCGCGUGAGGGAAGAAGGUUUUCGGAUCGUAAAACUCUGUUGGUAGAGAAGAACGUUGGUGAGAGUGGAAAGCUCAUCAAGUGACGGUAACUACCCAGAAAGGGACGGCUAACUACGUG